rnacentral:rRNA from 1 species
UGAGGAAUUUUGCGCAAUGGGAGCAAUCCUGACGCAGCAACGCAGCGUGGGUGAUGAAGGCCUUCGGGUCGUAAAGCCCUGUCAGGUGGGAAGAAUGUCCCGGGACUGAACAGGUUCCGGGAGUGACGGUACCACCAGAGGAAGCACCGGCUAACUCCGUGCCAGCAGCCGCGGUAAUACGGAGGGUGCAAGCGUUAUUCGGAAUUACUGGGCGUAAAGCGCGUGUAGGCGGUCCUGCAAGUCUGAUGUGAAAGCCCCGGGCUUAACCCGGGAAGUGCAUUGGAAACUGUGGGACUUGAGUACUGGAGAGGAUGGUGGAAUUGCCGGUGUAGAGGUGAAAUUCGUAGAGAUCGGGAGGAAUAUCAGUGGCGAAGGCGCCCAUCUGGACGGUAACUGACACUGAGGUACGAAAGCGUGGGGAGCAAACA